rnacentral:lncRNA from 1 species
AUUAAAGGAUCAAAACAAUUCGUCCUUUAGAGUUUUUGGGCCUUAACGUAAAAACGUAAACUUUUGGGCCAAAAUGCAAAUACACAAAAGUAUCAAAACUUUAUGUAAUUGCAUAAAAGACCCCAAAAGUACCCCCACUAGGGGGUGGCCGGUUUUGGAGUGUGAAUGAGUGUGAAAGGGUUUUUAUGCAACUUGAUUUUGGUGGGUGAGGUAAAGGUGAAAUUGAUGGUUUGUAAGAAAAUGUUUUGUAAAACAUUAAUGAGUUUAGACAAACAUUAAAGCCAAAAUAAAUGUUUCACCAAUAACUUUCACCCAUCAAAAUUAAACCAAAACUUUAUGAAAAACAUAAAACUUUUGAAUCAAAACUUCAAACCUUUUUGUUCUUGGCAAGAACUUCAAGAACAUUGAAGAACACCAUGAAAACUCAUAAUAGCUCCAUGAAUGUUUUCAUUCACCAAAACUCAAUUUUUCACCACUCAAAAGAGGGCUAAUAUCCUAGGGUACUUAGGGGUUCCAAAAGUCACCUUAAAACCAUUUUAACAAGACAAACAUGAACCCAAAAAAUCACCCUAAGGAUUUGGCCGAAUUUCCAAAACACAUGGCACCAAAUUUUAGUUCCAAUAUU